rnacentral:rRNA from 1 species
AACCAAAGGGGGCGAGCGCAAGCGGCUCUCGCUGAGGGAUGGGCCUGCGGCUGAUUAGCUAGUUGGUGAGGUAACGGCUCACCAAGGCGACGAUCAGUAGCCGACCUGAGAGGGUGACCGGCCACACUGGGACUGAGACACGGCCCAGACUCCUACGGGAGGCAGCAGUGGGGAAUAUUGCGCAAUGGGCGAAAGCCUGACGCAGCGACGCCGCGUGGGUGAUGAAGGCCUUCGGGUCGUAAAACCCUGUCGGGUGGAACGAAUUUCCGCUUCGCUAAUACCGGAGCGGAUUGACGGUACCAUCGAAGGAAGCCCCGGCUAACUACGUGCCAGCAGCCGCGGUAAUACGUAGGGGGCGAGCGUUGUUCGGAUUUACUGGGCGUAAAGAGCGCGUAGGCGGUUCGAUAAGUCGGAGGUGAAAUCCCUCGGCUCAACCGAGGAUCCGCGUCCGAUACUGUCGAACUUGAGUGCAGGAGAGGAGAGCGGAAUUCCCAGUGUAGCGGUGAAAUGCGUAGAUAUUGGGAGGAACACCGGUGGCGAAGGCGGCUCUCUGGACUGUUACUGACGCUGAGGCGCGAAAGCUAGGGGAGCAAACGGGAUUAGAUACCCCGGUAGUCCUAGCCGUAAACGAUGGGCACUAGGUGUGGGAGGUAUCGACCCCUUCCGUGCCGAAGCUAACGCAUUAAGUGCCCCGCCUGGGGAGUACGGCCGCAAGGUUGAAACUCAAAAGAGUUGACGGGGGCCCGCACAAGCGGUGGAGCAUGUGGUUUAAUUCGACGCAACGCGAAGA